rnacentral:rRNA from 1 species
UACGGAGGGUGCGAGCGUUGUCCGGAAUCACUGGGCGUAAAGGGCGCGUAGGCGGGCGGUCAAGUCGGGGGUGAAAUCUUUCCGCUUAACGGGAAGCGUGCCUCCGAUACUGAACGCCUCGAGGGAGGUAGGGGCAUGUGGAACUUCCGGUGGAGCGGUGAAAUGCGUAGAUAUCGGAAGGAACGCCGGUGGCGAAAGCGACGUGCUGGACCUCUUCUGACGCUGAGGCGCGAAAGCUAGGGGAGCAAACGGG